rnacentral:rRNA from 1 species
GUGGGGAAUAUUGCACAAUGGGGGAAACCCUGAUGCAGCCAUGCCGCGUGUAUGAAGAAGGCCUUCGGGUUGUAAAGUACUUUCAGUUGUGAGGAAGGCGUUGGAGCUAAUACGCUUCGACGAUUGRCCUUUACUCGCGAAGAAGCACCCGGUAACUCCUGG